rnacentral:rRNA from 1 species
GAUGAACGCUGGCGGCGUGCCUAAUACAUGCAAGUCGAGCGAACGGACGAGAAGCUUGCUUCUCUGAUGUUAGCGGCGGACGGGUGAGUAACACGUGGAUAACCUACCUAUAAGACUGGGAUAACUUCGGGAAACCGUAGCUAAUACCGGAUAAUAUUUUGAACCGCAUGGUUCAAAAGUGAAAGACGGUCUUGCUGUCACUUAUAGAUGGAUCCGCGCUGCAUUAGCUAGUUGGUAAGGUAACGGCUUACCAAGGCAACGAUGCAUAGCCGACCUGAGAGGGGGAUCGGCCACACUGGGACUGAGCCACGGUCCAGACUCCUACGGGAGGCAGCAGUAGGGAAUCUUCCGCAAUGGGCGAAAGCCUGACGGAGCAACGCCGCGUGAGUGAUGAAGGUCUUCGGAUCGUAAAACUCUGUUAUUAGGGAAGAACAGAUGUGUAAGUAACUGUGCACAUCUUGACGGUACCUAAUCAGAAAGCCACGGCUAACUACGUG